GCAUGCUCAGAUCUGCACGGCUGCUGCUGGCAGCAUGUUGGGUGCAUCACUGUGCCAGGGCCAAGGCCACCCCACAGGCACUGGCUGAAGCCCCCGUCCCUCUUGCCUGCUCUCACCUCCAGCCUGGAGCCACGACAAGCCCAGCUCCACUCGUGCCCUCCCCUCGCGGCCGGGACGGCGCUGACAAAUGGCCACCACAGCCGGCACUGAGCCGCGGGGCCGCCAGCACAAGGGCGCAAGAGCCAGGGGCUCCCGCGGGGCCGCAGGCGGCCCAGGCCGGGCUGGGCCUUCCCCAGCAGCUGCUCGCACACACCGGGCCGCGGCGGCUCCGGCUGCCCCCGCGUGCACAGCCGCUCGCUCUGCCCAGCCCGCGGCCCUCGGCCCUCAGCCCUCGGUCCCGGCGCGUCAGCUCGCGGCGCUGCAGCUCGAGGCUCCGGGCAGCCCCACGUCGGGAGACGCUGCCCCGCGCGGCACCAGCCACCUCUCGCCCCCUCCCUCCCUGCAGGGCCCGGGCAGCCACGGCCCCGCCCCCACCCCGCCCCUCGCCACCCUCCUCUGCGCCAGUGCGCACGCUCCGAGGAAGGAGGCGGCACUUCCGUCCCCCUGGGGGCAGGGCCUGUGUGUCCAUGGCCACCGCCCCUGGUGCUGCCAGCCCCGCCCCCGCUGGGCCCCGCUGCGGCGCCGCUCUCGAGGCUGCGGAGAAGCAGCUGCGGCAGCGGUGGGUGUUGGCGGCUGCUGCGCAGGGAGCCCGGAGCAGCGCUGCGGCCUGGCGUGUGCUCGUGUGGUCGGAGCCUGUGGCGGCUGCUGCUGGCUGGGGCCGGGGCGGAAGGCGGGGAGCGAGGGGGAGCGGCGCCAGGGGCAGGGAGCGAGGGGGAGCGGCGCCGGGCUGGCCCUGGGCUGAGGGAGUUGUGCUGCAGGGGAGCGUCGGCGGGGAAACGCUGCUGCCGGGGCGCUGCUGCCACAGGGCCCCACUCUGCCACGGGGCCUGGGCGAGUCUCUGCAAGGGGACGCACGUGCACGUCACGGGAGCCCCGGGAGGCCGCAGCCUUUUUUUCAGAAGUGGGUGAACAACCCAGGGGCCAUCGCAGCCUUUGGCAUUAUCUGCCGUGAGCGGGUGGCCCUGAAAUUUUGUCUCCAUCAGCAGCCCAAGAAAGRGGCUGGAGGGGGGAUCCCAGAGUGUCCCU
rnacentral:lncRNA from 1 species